rnacentral:misc_RNA from 1 species
AAAGAACUGACGAAGGAAUAUGUGGUAGAAGAUCGGGAAAGGUUAACGAAAGAUGUCCCAGUACUUGAUCCUAAUCACGUUACAGAGCUAAGAAUGUUGGGGCUCUAUUGAGAUUUAUGGCAAUCUAGCAAUUACUCACCCUCGCUGGAUUAUAUAUAGCUAUAGUUUAAGCGGGAGGAUAUGGUUGUGCUGCCAAAAAGAUAUUGAAGCCAGUAGAGAGUAGAGUGUACUGACCCAAACAGUGCUUUUGGGAGGGGUGCAGAUGCUUUUUAUAAAUUUUAAACCACCUGUUUUAGGUGAAACUUUCAGAAUUGGUUUAUUUUGAAAAGGGCUGCAUGCCAAAAAGAGUUUCGGUUAUU